GAUGAACGCUGGCGGCGUGCCUAAUACAUGCAAGUCGAGCGAACGGACGAGAAGCUUGCUUCUCUGAUGUUAGCGGCGGACGGGUGAGUAACACGUGGAUAACCUACCUAUAAGACUGGGAUAACUUCGGGAAACCGGAGCUAAUACCGGAUAAUAUUUUGAACCGCAUGGUUCAAAAGUGAAAGACGGUCUUGCUGUCACUUAUAGAUGGAUCCGCGCUGCAUUAGCUAGUUGGUAAGGUAACGGCUUACCAAGGCAACGAUGCAUAGCCGACCUGAGAGGGUGAUCGGCCACACUGGAACUGAGACACGGUCCAGACUCCUACGGGAGGCAGCAGUAGGGAAUCUUCCGCAAUGGGCGAAAGCCUGACGGAGCAACGCCGCGUGAGUGAUGAAGGUCUUCGGAUCGUAAAACUCUGUUAUUAGGGAAGAACAUAUGUGUAAGUAACUGUGCACAUCUUGACGGUACCUAAUCAGAAAGCCACGGCUAACUACGUGCCAGCAGCCGCGGUAGUACGUAGGUGGCAAGCGUUAUCCGGAAUUAUUGGGCGUAAAGCGCGCGUAGGCGGUUUUUUAAGUCUGAUGUGAAAGCCCACGGCUCAACCGUGGAGGGUCAUUGGAAACUGGAAAACUUGAGUGCAGAAGAGGAAAGUGGAAUUCCAUGUGUAGCGGUGAAAUGCGCAGAGAUAUGGAGGAACACCAGUGGCGAAGGCGACUUUCUGGUCUGUAACUGACGCUGAUGUGCGAAAGCGUGGGGAUCAAACAGGAUUAGAUACCCUGGUAGUCCACGCCGUAAACGAUGAGUGCUAAGUGUUAGGGGGUUUCCGCCCCUUAGUGCUGCAGCUAACGCAUUAAGCACUCCGCCUGGGGAGUACGACCGCAAAGUUGAAACUCAAAGGAAUUGACGGGGACCCGCACAAGCGGUGGAGCAUGUGGUUUAAUUCGAAGCAACGCGAAGAACCUUACCAAAUCUUGACAUCCUUUGACAACUCUAGAGAUAGAGCCUUCCCCUUCGGGGGACAAAGUGACAGGUGGUGCAUGGUUGUCGUCAGCUCGUGUCGUGAGAUGUUGGGUUAAGUCCCGCAACGAGCGCAACCCUUAAGCUUAGUUGCCAUCAUUAAGUUGGGCACUCUAAGUUGACUGCCGGUGACAAACCGGAGGAAGGUGGGGAUGACGUCAAAUCAUCAUGCCCCUUAUGAUUUGGGCUACACACGUGCUACAAUGGACAACACAAAGGGCAGCGAAACCGCGAGGUCAAGCAAAUCCCAUAAAGUUGUUCUCAGUUCGGAUUGUAGUCUGCAACUCGACUACAUGAAGCUGGAAUCGCUAGUAAUCGUAGAUCAGCAUGCUACGGUGAAUACGUUCCCGGGUCU
rnacentral:rRNA from 1 species